rnacentral:rRNA from 1 species
AGCGAACGCUGGCGGUAGGCCUAACACAUGCAAGUCGAACGGCAGCACAGUAAGAGCUUGCUCUUACGGGUGGCGAGUGGCGGACGGGUGAGGAAUACAUCGGAAUCUACUUUUUCGUGGGGGAUAACGUAGGGAAACUUACGCUAAUACCGCAUACGACCUUCGGGUGAAAGCAGGGGAUCUUUGGACCUUGCGCGAUUGAAUGAGCCGAUGUCGGAUUAGCUAGUUGGCGGGGUGAAGGCCCACCAAGGCGACGAUCCGUAGCUGGUCUGAGAGGAUGAUCAGCCACACUGGAACUGAGACACGGUCCAGACUCCUACGGGAGGCAGCAGUGGGGAAUAUUGGACAAUGGGCGCAAGCCUGAUCCAGCCAUACCGCGUGGGUGAAGAAGGCCUUCGGGUUGUAAAGCCCUUUUGUUGGGAAAGAAAAGCAGCAGGUUAAUACCCCGCUGUUCUGACGGUACCCAAAGAAUAAGCACCGGCUAACUUCGUG